CUGAGCCAGGAUCAAACUCUACCGUACGAUUGGAUAACAGGUUGAAAUUCCUGUACUGCUUAUGGACAGAACUGUGGGGACGCAGAAGGAGAGCACGAGCCGGAAAUGGAAAAGCCGGUACAAGCGUAUAGCAGUCAUGCAGGCAAAACCGCAUGAAAAAUGUAAAGCGUUAUGUGGAUCGAACAUUAGUAGAGAAGCGUGUGAGCCAGCUGCCAAGAAAAGCCGCUAUUGUUUCAUAAGUACCCGUACCGUAAACCGACACAGGUGGAUGAGGAGAGAAUCCUAAGGCCGGCGGGAGAAGUGUUGUUAAGGAACUCGGCAAAAUGACUCCGUAACUUCGGGAGAAGGAGUGCCACAGAGAUGUGGCCGCAGAGAAAUGGCCCAAGCAACUGUUUAGCAAAAACACAGGUCUAUGCAAAACCGAAAGGUGAGGUAUAUGGGCUGACGCCUGCCCGGUGCUGGAAGGUUAAGAGGAGAGGUUAGAGCAAUCGAAGCUUUGAAUUUAAGCCCCAGUAAACGGCGGCCGUAACGAUAACGGUCCUAAGGUAGCGAAAUUCCUUGUCGGGUAAGUUCCGACCCGCACGAAAGGCGUAAUGAUUUGGGCACUGUCUCAACAACACACCCGGUGAAAUUGAAAUACCAGUGAAGAUGCUGGUUACCUGCGCCAGGACGGAAAGACCCCAUGGAGCUUUACUCCAGUUUGAUACUGGGAUUCGGUACUGUCUGUACAGGAUAGGUGGGAGGCUAGGAAAUGGUGACGCCAGUUGCCAUGGAGCCAACCUUGGGAUACCACCCUUACAGUACUGGGUUUCUAACCUGCAGCCGUAACCCGGCUGGGGGACAAUGUCUGACGGGGAGUUUGACUGGGGCGGUCGCCUCCGAAAGAGUAUCGGAGGCGCUCAAAGGUUCCCUCAGAACGGUUGGAAACCGUUCGAAGAGUGCAAAGGCAGAAGGGAGCUUGACUGCGACACCGACGGGUGGAGCAGAUACGAAAGUAGGACUUAGUGAUCCGGUGGUAUAAAGUGGGAUUGCCAUCGCUCAACGGAUAAAAGCUACCCUGGGAUAACAGGCUUAUCACUCCCAAGAGUUCACAUCGACGGAGUGGUUUGGCACCUCGAUGUCGGCUCAUCGCAUCCUGGAGCUGUAGCAGGUUCCAAGGGUUGGGCUGUUCGCCCAUUAAAGCGGUACGCGAGCUGGGUUCAGAACGUCGUGAGACAGUUCGGUCCCUAUCCGGCGUGGGCGUAGGAUAUUUGAGAGGAGCUGUCCUUAGUACGAGAGGACCGGGAUGGACAAACCUCUGGUGUAUCUGUUGUUUUACCAAAGGCAUGGCAGAGUAGCCAAGUUUGGCAGGGAUAAACGCUGAAGGCAUCUAAGCGUGAAGCCCCCCUCAAGAUAAGAUAUCCCAUCUUCGGAGUAAGACCCCUUGAAGACUACAAGGUUGAUAGGCUUCAGGUGUAAGUGUGGUAACGCACUCAGCUGAGAAGUACUAAUAGGUCGAGGACUUAUCAA
rnacentral:rRNA from 1 species